rnacentral:rRNA from 1 species
CGAUUAGAGUUUGAUUAUGGCUCAGGACGAACGCUGGCGGCGUGCUUAACACAUGCAAGUCGAGCGGGGUUUAUCGGAUUAGCUUGCUAAACUGAUAAACCUAGCGGCGGACGGGUGAGUAACGCGUGAGCAAUCUGCCUCAUACAGGGGGAUAACAGGUGGAAACACCUGCUAAUACCGCAUAAGACUCCACUACCGCAUGGUAGAGAAGUCAAAGGGAUUACCGGUAUGAGAUGAGCUCGCGUCCCAUUAGCUAGUUGGUAGGGUAAAGGCCUACCAAGGCGACGAUGGGUAGCCGACCUGAGAGGGUGAUCGGCCACACUGGGACUGAGACACGGCCCAGACUCCUACGGGAGGCAGCAGUGGGGAAUAUUGCACAAUGGAGGGAACUCUGAUGCAGCAACGCCGCGUGAGUGAAGAAGGUUUUCGGAUCGUAAAACUCUGUCAUUGGGGAAGAAUAAAUGACGGUACCCAAUGAGGAAGCCCCGGCUAACUACGUGCCAGCAGCCGCGGUAAUACGUAGGGGGCGAGCGUUGUCCGGAAUUACUGGGCGUAAAGGGUACGUAGGCGGCUAUAUAAGUCAGGUGUGAAAUACCAGUGCUUAACACUGGAAUUGCAUUUGAAACUGUGUAGCUUGAGUGCAGGAGAGGAAAGUGGAAUUCCUAGUGUAGCGGUGAAAUGCGUAGAGAUUAGGAGGAACACCAGUGGCGAAGGCGACUUUCUGGACUGUAACUGACG